GAGGUUUUAGAGCUGGGAUGGAUUUUCCAGAAAUCUUCUGUUUCAAACACCUGCCCUAGGAUAGGCAAAUGGGAGCUACUAAAAUUUUUGGAGUUGGAGUGGAAUAUGAGAUGUCUUUCAAGAAGGUUAUCAUGCAGUCCUGAAAGAACAGACAUGCUGAUUGGCACAGAGCGGCAGGAAGAAUAUAAAGACACCAUGAAGCUCUUAAACUGCGAUCUGUUCAUUUACUCCUGUUUGAAUUGGAAGAAUAGGAGCUGACGUUUGGAUGGGGUCUUAAAAGUCAUCUUGUGCAACCUUGCACCCAAUGCCAGAAUUACUGGGGCUACA
rnacentral:lncRNA from 10 species